AAUAGAUACCCAGGUAGUCCACGCCGUAAACGAUGAGUGCUAAGUGUUAGGGGGUUUCCGCCCCUUAGUGCUGCAGCUAACGCAUUAAGCACUCCGCCUGGGGAGUACGGCCGCAAGGCUGAAACUCAAAGGAAUUGACGGGGGCCCGCACAAGCGGUGGAGCAUGUGGUUUAAUUCGAAGCAACGCGAAGAACCUUACCAGGUCUUGACAUCCUCUGAUAACCCUAGAGAUAGGGCGUUCCCCCUUCGGGGGACAGAGUGACAGGUGGUGCAUGGUUGUCGUCAGCUCGUGUCGUGAGAUGUUGGGUUAAGUCCCGCAACGAGCGCAACCCUUGAUCUUAGUUGCCAGCAUUUAGUUGGGCACUCUAAGGUGACUGCCGGUGACAAACCGGAGGAAGGUGGGGAUGACGUCAAAUCAUCAUGCCCCUUAUGACCUGGGCUACACACGUGCUACAAUGGAUGGUACAAAGGGCUGCCAAACCGCGAGGUUGAGCGAAUCCCGAUAAAACCCGAUUCUCAGUUCGGAUUGCAGGCUG
rnacentral:rRNA from 1 species